AGAAAAAAUUGAAAAGGCAAUAUGUGUAAAGCUUGAGACUUUAAAAAAUUUUACUCGAAUUUUAUCUGGACUAGAUGAAUAUGAUAAAUACCCAGGAGUAUGAUUGCUGAUUCUUACGCAGCCCCACAGUGCCUGGCAUGAAGUAGGUGUUCAGUAUUUAUAUGCGAGAUGGCUGGAUGGACGGAUGGACUUUCUCAGCUCUGCCAAGACGUUGCAGGGAUAAGACCUUUCAGAAGAGCCAACCAGGUUCUGGGAUUGUGAGGGAGACAGCUGAGAGAACGUGAACAUUAAUUUGAUCUGAGGCUUCUCUGGGUUUAUGUGUCUAAUUGGAGAGUAUUUUGAUCAGCCAGCUUCUCUUCUGAAAUGUAAACCAUCUGACAGAGGUAAUCCUAUUAGUUGCAUUUUAUUCUGAAUUAGUUGAGUUGGUGUAAUGUUCUAAUAUUUAGCUGAGUGUAGUGGUGGUGUGUGGGGAGGGCUGAGGUGGGAGGUCGGCAGCCUGCGGUGGGCAGAGGCCUGGGUUCUCUUUCGAAGGGGGAAUCCUGGAUAUUCCUGGGUUUCUUAGAGAGUGUGUGCAGGUGGGGGAACCAGGAAGUGAGAGAGAGAAGUGGGAUAACAGCAAAGGCACACUUGGUCAGCCUCAAGAUCUGCCCGAAGCCUGCUGGCGGUCGCUGUGGACACACCAUAGAAAUUCAUCUCUGAAGCUGCUGGUGCCAGAGUGCUUCAGACUCUAACUGUCCCUGUAAGGAUGGACUGUUCCCCUUUUACAAACAGCAUUUUUUAAAGUAACCUAAGCAAAGUUUUACAUAGAAUAAAAUUGUUUUCAGGACAGAUAAAAGAGUGAAAAGAAUGCAUGAGAAUAUUAAAUGUACAGCUAUUAAGAUUUCUUGAAUUAGAAACUGAAUAAUUGUGUAGAAAGGCAAACAGCCUUUAGGGUGACAGAGGGGUUCUUGGAGUUGACAAGGGUGAUGAAUUAUCUAGGGUUUGACUCUCAACGGGAGGGAUAUCACCCUAAGGGGGUAAAAAUUGGUUCUUGGGGGACAAAAAAGAGCUUAGUGAUUCAGCGGCCUGCAUGGCCAGGGUACCUAAACAGAAAUACAGUAUAUUUGUGGUAUUCGAAUUUCAUGGUGGCAAAGGGCAUUAGGUAAAAAUGUCUUAAAAGUCUCCUUACAGGGCGAUAACAAAAAAAAAAAAGUUGAGAAACACUGGACCUGUUGAUUCAAAUGGAAGGAUUUUGUUGACCACCAGUGGGUCCCCCUGGGAAGACGAACCGGAAAUGUGUGUUGACUCAGCAGAAGGAAAAAGAUCUCACAUGUUGUCUAGCACGGGGAUCCGUAGCAACGUUGAGUGAAAAGAAAGACACAGAGAACCCUAUGCUGACAUCAAAGAAAAAUGACCUUCAGCCAUAGGAUUUUACUGUGGAAAGCCAGAGAGUACACGCUAACAUCUGUGAAAUCAGAUUAAAAU